rnacentral:rRNA from 1 species
UACGUAGGGUGCAAGCGUUAUCCGGAAUUAUUGGGCGUAAAGAGCUCGUAGGCGGUUUGUCGCGUCUGCUGUGAAAACUGGAGGCUCAACCUCCAGCCUGCAGUGGGUACGGGCAGACUAGAGUGCGGUAGGGGAGAUUGGAAUUCCUGGUGUAGCGGUGGAAUGCGCAGAUAUCAGGAGGAACACCGAUGGCGAAGGCAGAUCUCUGGGCCGGAACUGACGCUGAGGAGCGAAAGCAUGGGGAGCGAACAGG